rnacentral:rRNA from 1 species
GCGUUGUUCGGAUUCAUUGGGCGUAAAGGGUGCGUAGGUGGCGCGCUAAGUCAGGUGUGAAAUUUCGGAGCUCAACUCCGAAACUGCAUUUGAUACUGGCGUGCUUGAGGACUGGAGAGGAGACUGGAAUUCACGGUGUAGCAGUGAAAUGCGUAGAGAUCGUGAGGAAGACCAGUGGCGAAGGCGGGUCUCUGGACAGUUCCUGACACUGAGGCACGAAGGCCAG